AUGGCGUCCAGCUCGAGCGCGUUGAGGAUGCCCGCGGCGGUGUGCGCCGUGCUCGUCCUGCUGCUGCUGUCCGCCGUCUCGCGCUGCGAGGCCGACCUCCUGCAGGUAACGGUGGCCGGCGGCCGGAGAAUGCUGGCCGGUGGGAGCAAUGCCGCCGCCGCCUUCUCGCGGCCGACGGAGACGACUGCCGGGAGUAGCUCGUGGCGGGCAGCAGAUGGGAGGGCGACGGCGGCGAUGCCGUACUCUGAGUCGAAGAGGUCCAGCCCCGGCGGCCCGGACCCUCAGCACCACUAA
rnacentral:rRNA from 1 species